AGUGAACGCUGGCGGUAGGCCUAACACAUGCAAGUCGAACGGCAGCACAGGAGAGCUUGCUCUCUGGGUGGCGAGUGGCGGACGGGUGAGGAAUACAUCGGAAUCUACUUUUUCGUGGGGGAUAACGUAGGGAAACUUACGCUAAUACCGCAUACGACCUACGGGUGAAAGCAGGGGACCUUCGGGCCUUGCGCGAUUGAAUGAGCCGAUGUCGGAUUAGCUAGUUGGCGGGGUAAAGGCCCACCAAGGCGACGAUCCGUAGCUGGUCUGAGAGGAUGAUCAGCCAAAAUGGAACUGAGAAACGGUCCAGACUCCUACGGGAGGCAGCAGUGGGGAAUAUUGGACAAUGGGCGCAAGCCUGAUCCAGCCAUACCGCGUGGGUGAAGAAGGCCUUCGGGUUGUAAAGCCCUUUUGUUGGGAAAGAAAUCCAGCUGGCUAAUACCCGGUUGGGAUGACGGUACCCAAAGAAUAAGCACCGGCUAACUUCGUGCCAGCCGCCGCGGUAA
rnacentral:rRNA from 1 species